GAGGGGGAUACCCGGGAAACUGGGGAUAUACCCCAUAGACUAUGAAUGCUGGAAUGCUUUGUAGUUGAAAGGUCCGCCGCCAUAGGAUGGGUCUGCGGCCGAUUAGGUUGUUGUUGGGGUAACGGCCCAACAAGCCUGUAAUCGGUACGGGUUGUGGGAGCAAGAGCCCGGAGAUGGAUUCUGAGACACGAAUCCAGGCCCUACGGGGCGCAGCAGGCGCGAAAACUUUACAAUGCGGGAAACCGUGAUAAGGGAACUCCGAGUGCCCGUAAAAUCGGGCUGUCCAUCUGUUUAAAUAACAGGUGAAGAAAGGGCCGGGCAAGACCGGUGCCAGCCGCCGCGGUAAUACCGGCGGCUCGAGUGGUGGCCACUAUUACUGGGCUUAAAGCGUUCGUAGCUGGUCUGUUAAGUCUCUGGGGAAAUCUACUGGCUUAACCAAUAGGCGUCUCAGGGAUACUGGCAGACUAGGGACCGGGAGAGGUGAGAGGUACUCCAGGGGUAGGAGUGAAAUCCUGUAAUCCUUGGGGGACCAUCUGUGGCGAAGGCGUCUCACCAGAACGGCUCCGACAGUGAGGGACGAAAGCUGGGGGAGCAAACCGGAUUAGAUACCCGGGUAGUCCCAGCUGUAAACGAUGCGCGUUAGGUGUAUCGAUGACCACGAGUCAUCGAGGUGCCGAAGAGAAAUCGUGAAACGUGCCGCCUGGGAAGUACGGUCGCAAGGCUGAAACUUAAAGGAAUUGGCGGGGGAGCACCACAACAGGUGGAGCCUGCGGUUUAAUCGGACUCAACGCCGGAAAUCUCACCGGAUAAGACAGCUGGAUGAUAGUCGGGCUGAAGACUCUACUUGACUAGCUGAGAGGAGGUGCAUGGCCGUCGUCAGUUCGUACUGUGAAGCAUCCUGUUAAGUCAGGCAACGAGCGAGACCCACGCCAACAGUUGCCAGCUCGUCCUCCGGGAUGGUGGGGACACUGUUGGGACCGCCUCUGCUAAAGAGGAGGAAGGAAUGGGCAACGGUAGGUCAGCAUGCCCCGAAUUAUCCGGGCUACACGCGGGCUACAAUGGGUGGGACAAUGGGUAUCGACACCGAAAGGUGAAGGCAAUCUCCUAAACCCAUCCUUAGUUCGGAUUGUGGGCUGCAACUCGCCCACAUGA
rnacentral:rRNA from 1 species